rnacentral:antisense_RNA from 1 species
AGAGAGAGAUUAGUUUUCUAAACCCAUCACAAAGUGAAGGUCAGUGGUAGGUUUUAAAUUCCACCUAAACAUUGUGCGUUUUUAAAUUUGCCCCUCAAUCUUCCCUGAAUUAGGGAUAGCUGAUUGUCAUCCCAUUUUUGAGACCUCAGUCAUCCUUCUGCGUGCAUCAUCACAACUGAGAGAGGAAGGAAAGAGCACUGGAUGUGGAGUGAGGAGACAUGGAUUCUGUCACUACCCUGCUCUGCAGAACCCAACAGUAUGCCAUUGAAACAAAAUACAAAACCCUGUCUGCAAA